GUGAGGAAUUUUCCGCAAUGGGCGAAAGCCUGAUCCAGCCAUGCCGCGUGCAGGAUGAAGGCCUUCGGGUUGUAAACUGCUUUUGUACGGAACGAAAAGACUCUGGUUAAUACCUGGGGUCCAUGACGGUACCGUAAGAAUAAGCACCGGCUAACUACGUGCCAGCAGCCGCGGUAAUACGUAGGGUGCAAGCGUUAAUCGGAAUUACUGGGCGUAAAGCGUGCGCAGGCGGUUAUAUAAGACAGAUGUGAAAUCCCCGGGCUCAACCUGGGAACUGCAUUUGUGACUGUAUAGCUAGAGUACGGCAGAGGGGGAUGGAAUUCCGCGUGUAGCAGUGAAAUGCGUAGAUAUGCGGAGGAACACCGAUGGCGAAGGCAAUCCCCUGGGCCUGCACUGACGCUCAUGCACGAAAGCGUGGGGAGCAAACAGGAUUAGAUACCCCAGUAGUCC
rnacentral:rRNA from 1 species